rnacentral:rRNA from 1 species
UACGUAGGGUGCAAGCGUUAAUCGGAAUUACUGGGCGUAAAGCGUGCGCAGGCGGUUAUGUAAGACAGGUGGGAAAUCCCCGGGCUUAACCUGGGAACUGCAUUUGUGACUGCAUAGCUAGAGUACGGUAGAGGGGGAUGGAAUUCCGCGUGUAGCAGUGAAAUGCGUAGAUAUGCGGAGGAACACCGAUGGCGAAGGCAAUCCCCUGGACCCGUACUGACGCUCAUGCACGAAAGCGUGGGGAGCAAACAGG